rnacentral:RNase_P_RNA from 1 species
UAAGUAGAAUAAAUGAUCGCGGAUGACAAAACGAAAGGUGUCAUACGAGGAAAGUCCGGGCUUCACAGGGCAGGAUGCCAGAUAACGUCUGGUGGAGGCGACUCCAAGGAUAGUGCAACAGAAAUAUACCGCCAGCUUUGCUGGUAAGGGUGGAAGGGCAGUGUAAGAGACUACCGCCUUUUUGGUAACAAAGAGGGCAUAUGUAAACCCCAUCCGAAGCAAGACCGAAAAAAAGCAUAUGGCGGCCCGUCAGCUUUAGGUAGGUCGCUGGAACCUGCUGGCGACAGCAGGUCUAGAUAGAUGAUCAUUCACGACAUAACCCGGCUUACCGUUCUGCUUAUGCA